UGAUCCCUGUCCUCGCUAAUAGGAAGAAAACUUUGAGCUAACACAGUAUAUAUGGGAAUCUAAGUUCAGAUACGUAAUGCAGGUCUCCAGGGGAAGAGAAGCAUGAAAUAUCUGAGAGGAUACCCCCCUGAGAUUCUGACUCAAGGCUUUUUUCUGAGCGCAAGGGCAGGGAUUGA
rnacentral:other from 1 species